rnacentral:rRNA from 1 species
AUUGAACGCUGGCGGCAGGCCUAACACAUGCAAGUCGAACGAGCGGCGGACGGGUGAGUAAUGUCUGGGAAACUGCCCGAUGGAGGGGGAUAACUACUGGAAACGGUAGCUAAUACCGCAUACUAUCAGAUGUGCCAAUAUGGGAUUAGCUAGUUGGUGGGGUAACGGCUCACCAAGGCGACGAUCCCUAGCUGGUCUGAGAGGAUGAUCAGCAACACUGGAACUGAGACACGGCCCAGACUCCAACGUGAGGCAGCAGUGGGGAAUAUUGCACAAUGGGCGCAAGCCUGAUGCAGCCAUGCCGCGUGUAUGAAGAAGGCCUUAGGGUUGUAAAGUACUUUCAGCGGGGAGGCGUUACCCGCAGAAGAAGCACCGGCUAACUCCGUGCCAGCCGCCGCGGUAAUAC